UCACAUGAGCCUUUGUUGCUGAUGCAGG
rnacentral:sRNA from 1 species